AUCUUAGGAGCUCUUGUUCUUUCACCUCUCCUGGCUGUUCUUGACCUUAGUGACCACGAUCUCUCCAACGCUGGCUCAGUCUCCUCUUCCCCCAGCAAGGCGUUAUCAACCCCUCGCUCAGCUGUGUCUCUAGCUUCCUUUCUCCUUGUAGUCCUUGGAUACCUUUGAAAGGAACUGCAUUCCCUCCUUUCCUUGACUGCCAGGAUGCUCGGGACCAAAGUACAAUCCACCUCUAGCGACUAGGCAGUACCAGAAGAGGAAACUGAGGCCCAGAGUGAUGUCACAUCGUGAGUAAAGUACAGAUUCCAACUCACGUCAGCCUGACUCCCACAUCCAUGCCUUGGCUACCGAUCGAGCUGAGAGGAAGGUAGAGAAAAGAAGUAAAGAGCCAGGUGGCAGAGAGCCUGGCAGUGCCUGGUGAGCGCCUCCUCACUGCUGGAGAAAGAUGGACGCCUGGUAAUAUUGCCUGGACACCUGGAUACAGCUGUGCCUGAAACAGUUACAGCGCCGGACUUAUUUUCCUGCCACUUGAAACUGAAAAGAUUCUAAAAAGGAAUAGUUAUACUUCCUGUGACUUUCAGUUCUCGGUCCCCGGUACAGAGUCUGGCACUCAGCAGGCCUUUUAUUGACCUCAAAGACGAGUUGGGUCUUUAAUAUAUAAAUUCUCCCAAGUCCCCUGAACUUUCGUCAUGACGGCAUUGCUCCCAGUGACUUCUGCUCAUUCCCUGACUAGCCCUCGCAGAGCGAUGCCCUCACUGACCCACCCAGUCUGGCUCUUCGGUCUUCUUGUCUUCCUCCGUUAGUCCACUCUCCAACUCAUCUGCUUCACUUCCUGGGAUCAGCUUCCAAGUCAACCACGAGCUGUGAAUCCUUGUCUCGCAGAAGCAGCCACAAUUGCCAACAGGUGGAAAUAACCCACAUGUCCAUCAACAGACGGAUGGGCACACAGAUUAUGGUGUAGCCAUGCAAUGGAAUAUGAUUCGGCCAUAUCAAGGAACCCAGUGCUGGUGCAGCCACUAUGGAAAACAGUAUGGAGGUUUCUGAAAAAAACUAAAAAUAGGGUUGCCAUAUGAUCCAACAAUCCCAUUCCUGGGCAUACACCCAGACAAAACUAUAAUUCAAAAAGAUACAUGCACCCCUGUGUUCAUAGCAGCACUAUUCACAAGAGCCAAGACCGGAAGCAACUUAAGGGUCCAUCAACAGAUGCACGGAUAAAGACGCGGUACAUAUUUAAAUGCAAUAUUACUCAGCCACAAAAGAGAAAUAAUGCUAUUUGCAGCAACAUGCAUAGACCUAGAGAUGACCAUAUUAAGUGAAAUAAGUCAAAUAGAGAAAGACAAACAUAUAUCACUUGUAUAUGGAAUCUAAAAUACGACAUAAAUGAACAUAGUUAUGAACCAAAAACAGACUCAUAGUCACAGAGAACAGACUUAUGUUUGACAAGGGAUGGGAGGGAAGGAUUGGAGCCUGGGAUUAGUAGAUGCAAACUAGUAUAUAUAGGAUGGAUAAACAACCAAGUCCUACUGUACAGCAUGUGAGACUAGAUUUGAUAUGAUAAACCAUAGCAGAAAAAAUAUGAAAAAGAAUGUUUAGAUCUAUAACUGAGUCACUUUGCCAGACAGCAGAAAUUAACCCAACAUUGCAAAUAAA